CCUUCCCAUGAGCCUUUCCUCUGAGGCCUCUAUUUUCUGAGAGGGACUUUAUCUAGCGACUGACAUCCUCAGAGACCAUGGACCUGGGACCUCAUGGAGAGGACAGGAUGGGUCACCCUUGGAGAGCUCAGUUUAUGCCUUUUACUUGCUGACUUUACAUGGUGACAGAAGUGGGAUCCCUAGCUACUGACCUUCAAUUCUGGUGCCACUUCACAGACACAAGCAAGGUGCCUGCAAAGAAUCUUUUGUGCUCUGUCGUCUCCUCCUGGUGGCUCUGGUUCCUGGUGAUUGGUUGCAGACAAUGAUACAGGCGUCAGGAAUGGUGGAGCCAAGAGACGGGAAUUCAUGGGUGACUGACACACCCUGUGGAAGAGAACCACCUGCCCAACGCAAAACCCACCUUGGCCUGUUUGUCAAGAACUUGCUCCCAGAAAAAACCUGGAUGGAGAACAAAACAGAAAGUUAGCAGCGGGGAAGGAACUCGGGGCUGCAACAGGGCCCGGCGGCGGCGGCGGCAGAGGCUGAAGCAGGAGCCGCGUCGGAGCCGGGGAAGCGGGGGCGCUGCAGACGGAGCAGGUGCAGCCGGCGGGUCCGCGCGCCCCCCUCGGUCCCCUUGCCGGAGGCUGAGGGGGGGGUGGUGGGGGGCCACCCGGACUGCGCGGGAAGAGUGGGGAGGGGGAUCAUGCAGCCGGGCUCUUCCCCGGCGCAGCGAGACAGCGGCCAGGGCCGGGGGUGCAGUGGCGUCGCUUCAUGCAGCCUGGGCGGCUGGGCUGGGUGGGGGGACGGGCGGGGUGCUUUCUGAAGCUGCCUAGCUCCACGCCUGGGAAUCCCCAGCCCAGGUGCCCGCGGGGUGUUUCCCAACCCAGGCUCUUGUGGGGCUCUGCUCUGCUGCGUUGGGGACGCUAAGGCAUGAAGCAGGAUAGCUAGAUUGACUGAAGGGCUUUGAGUUCUCCUGGAAUCUCUCAAAAUCGCCCUCAAACGUAUUUGCGUGUCUGACAUCCGACUUUAGUAUUUUCAGGUUAGAACAAAAUGAACAGGGAACGGUUAAACAGAUGACGCUGGUGAGUUUGGGCUUGCUAGAAAAGACUGAGGAUGUUCCCCAUCUCCAGGACUUUCUAUCCCCCGGUGGCUGCAGGAACCCUGGGUUGAUUUUGCAUCAGGAGCAUCAAGGUCUGCAUGGCAGUCGGUGUCCUAAGAGUUUUUACAUCCUGCACCCCUGCCCUUUCUAACCGGCGCCUCCUUCGCAACAGAUGUUCAUCUCCCUUCUCUUCCACAGUCUCCUAGCGGUGAGGGAAAGGAGAGGAGAGUAGAAAGUUAAGUGCAGGUAAAAUAAAUUAGUGAUCCGGCUUUCUUGCUAGCCGUAACAUUUAAAAAACACUGGAGCAGAUGCCCCAAAGGCAAACAUCCUUUGCUCCCCCCACCCCCACCUUUUAUCUCUUUCUGGAAAACAUCUGGAUGGCUGGUCCCAUCUCUGUUGCAUCUCAGUAAUUAAUUGGAGUUGUCAGCCAAACACAGGUUUUGUCAGCUAAAGUGAUAUUAUCAUCUUCACAAGGCCAAUAGGUAAAAUAAGGAUUUUUUCCUGACAAGGUGCCUUGCUGUUGAAGAGAUGUGCUUUCUAAGUUUAAAUUACAGCCUGCAAGAGUUUUAGAAAUAACCUAACUUCAGAAAUAUAUAGUAAGUGUGUAUUAUAUAAUAAUAUAUUACUAUAUGUGUGUAUUAUGUAAUAUAUAUUAUAUAUGAAUAUAUAAUAUGUAUUGAUUGAUUUCUUCCACUUUAAAAAAUACGCCUUAUGCUUUCAAAGCUUGAGAGAAGUACAUUUAGGCGUAAACAUUCCAGCAGGUUAAAUGGAAAGAGUAAAUGUGUCUGUCAAUAUCUUGUCUGUUUCAACAGAGAGAACUAAUUGCAACAUUUUAGGAGGCCUCAAACAGCCCCUUCCUAUCAAAACAGAAACCAGUCAAUGCCUACUUGAACUGGAAAAUCAGUAUUUAUAACAUUGCAAGUCAUGGCUUCCAGUUUGCGAUUAGAAUUACAAAAGGUGUUGGGAUGAUUAAUGCAACAACAGCAAACCAGAGAAAGGAGGAGAUGUUUGGGAAGGUUUCGGUUGUUUAAUUGUUGGUUGUAGGAAAGUUCUGAUUUCUGCUAUGGGGUUGCUUCAGCCCUCUGAGGGUAACUGUGCUCUUUUCCAGCUCUAAUUUCAAAGCUGUGUAUCUUGUGAGAAGUGUCAGAUGCCCUUUGGGGGAGAGGAAGGCCUGAAGAUCAGACCUUUCCAACAUGUGUUGUAUUGCUUUGUGGCAGCUGGAAAUAGAGAUGGGGUGUUUGAUUCAGGUGACUUGAAGUUGAUGUAGGGGUGCAUGGUGGAAUGCAUGUCAGGAGGUCCCAUCGUAGGGUCUGGAGAAUUUUCUGAAUGAAAGGAUAGAAGAUGCCAGAUUUUCUCAUGUUCUUAAAUACUGCUGUUGGGAAAAGAAGGUAUGAACCGGCCUCGCUGUCAUGACAUGGUUACUGAAGAUGUCAUUCCAGCUUUAUGGUUCUCUCAGCCAUCACUUGUGAUAUUUGGGACAUGGUGUCAAUAUUUGGUAGCCGCCGUAUAACUGUUACGCUGAAGAGACAUGGAUAGAGCUAUAUUCCCUUGAUCCUCACUUCAGAGGACCACAUGGUAUCUCUGUGUCCUCGAUCUGCUACUCCAGAAAUUCACCCAUGCGAGACCCUUAUGAUGCUCAGUGGUGCUGAUUGGAAGUGCUGGAGGAGAAUCUCUCCAACAUAGAGGGAAUCAUUAGCCACCCAAACCUGUCUGUUGAGAAGACUCCCAGAAACCCCUUGGACCCACAGUUGCUGAGUGUGCCGGGACUGGCCUUGGAUAGCUCUCCAGCCUUACAAGGGACAGCAGUGUUUUGAGGACAUUUGUGGGAUUUUCAUUAGCUCUGUCUCUCCUCUCUUUCUCCCAUGUAGGAAGAGGGGAUGACAACCUCACUGUUGUAGAAAAGGAAACAGUGGCAUUGAUUCAAACCAGUAAAAGACACCUCUUGGUUCCCUGGUACAACUCCGUCUUUUAAAUGGUGACAUCUGUACUUAAAUGGUUAUACCAGGUAUUCUGCCUGAAAUCUUACUCUACUGUUUGAGUAGUUAGAGAUCCACAGGUUAAUUAAAGACUUUAAUUUUCCCCCCA